rnacentral:tRNA from 1 species
CAAGGCCGUGGAUUUGUGAA